AUUGAACGCUGGCGGCAGGCCUAACACAUGCAAGUCGAGCGGAUGAGGCGAGCUUGCGCCUGGAUUCAGCGGCGGACGGGUGAGUAAAGCCUGGGAAUCUGCCUGGUAGUGGGGUGGAACGUCCGGAGAAAGGCGCUAAUACCGCAUAAUUGCUGCGGGUGAAAGAGGGGGGUGUUCGGACCUCACGCUAUCAGAUGGGCCUAGGUCGGAUUAGCUAGUUGGUGGGGUGAAGGCCUACCAAGCCGACGAUCCGUAUCUGGUCUGAGAGGAUGAUCAGUCACACUGGAACUGAGACACGGUCCAGACUACUACGGGAGGCAGCAGAGGGGAAUAUUGGACAAUGGGCGAAAGCAUGAUCCAGCCAUGCCGCGUGUGUGGAGGAGGUCUUCGGAGUGUAAAGCCGGUCAUGUUGUGAUGAACGGCAGUAAGUUAUUACCUUGCUGGAGUGACGUUAAUAACAGAAGAAGCACCGGCUAACUACGUG
rnacentral:rRNA from 1 species